GGUGCUGAGGAUCGAACCCGGGCCGCACGCAUGCCAGGGAGCGCACUACCGCUUGAGCCACAUCCCCAGCCCGAGUAGACCUAUUCAAUGAUAAGAAUUGCUGAGAAAAUUGCUGGCUUCAGAGAAGGCAGAAUAACAGCAAGACAGGAAGCUGGAGAAAGUCAGAUAAACAUGGCAUGCUGAAAAAUUUGUUUCCAGAUUAAAUGUUAACUUUUUAUGGAAUGAA